rnacentral:rRNA from 1 species
GAUGUACGCUGGCGGCGUGCUUAACACAUGCAAGUCGAACGGAAAGGCUCCUGCUUGCAGGGGUACUCGAGUGGCGAACGGGUGAGUAACACGUGGGUGAUCUGCCCUGCACUUCGGGAUAAGCCUGGGAAACUGGGUCUAAUACCGGAUAGGACGAUGGUUUGGAUGCCAUUGUGGAAAGUUUUUCGGUGUGGGAUGAGCUCGCGGCCUAUCAGCUUGUUGGUGGGGUAAUGGCCUACCAAGGCGUCGACGGGUAGCCGGCCUGAGAGGGUGUACGGCCACAUUGGGACUGAGAUACGGCCCAGACUCCUACGGGAGGCAGCAGUGGGGAAUAUUGCACAAUGGGCGCAAGCCUGAUGCAGCGACGCCGCGUGGGGGAUGACGGCCUUCGGGUUGUAAACUCCUUUCGCUAGGGACGAAGCGCAAGUGACGGUACCUGGAGAAGAAGCACCGGCUAACUACG